GAAACAACAACAAGAUUCUAAGGGUUGUUUCUUUUGUGACCAACCUGGACAUGUGAAGAAAGAUUGUGCCAAAUAUCACGCAUGGCGUGUAAAGAAAGGGUUGCCUGAGCUACCGAAAGCCAAGUGAUGGUGAAAGAUACAUCUUUGUGGGCGAUGGUCAAUCGGUGGAAGUGGAAGCAAUUGGGCAUUUCAGAUUGUUAUUAGGAACUGGUUCUUAUUUGGAUUUGAAAGACACUUUUGUUGUGCCGUCUUUUAGGCGGAAUUUAGUUUCUGUUUCUUUGUUGGACAAAUUUGGAUAUUGUUGUUCAUUUGGAAACAAUCAGUUUACUUUGUCUUUAAAUUCAAAUAUUAUUGGAACUGGUUAUUUGAAUACU